AUUGAACGCUGGCGGCAGGCCUAACACAUGCAAGUCGAACGGAGUGGCGGACGGGUGAGUAAUGUCUGGGAAACUGCCCGAUGGAGGGGGAUAACUACUGGACACGGUAGCUAAUACCGCAUACUAUCAGAUGAGCCUAGGUCGGAUUAGCUAUGUGGUGGGGUAAAGGCAUACCAAGGCGACGAUCCGUAACUGGUCUGAGAGGAUGAUCAGUCACACUGGAACUGAGACACGGUCCAGACUCCUACGGGAGGCAGCAGUGGGGAAUAUUGGACAAUGGGCGAAAGCCUGAUCCAGCCAUGCCGCGUGUGUGAAGAAGGUCUUCGGAUUGUAAAGCACUUUAAGGUGGGAGGCGUUACUCGCAGAAGAAGCACCGGCUAACUCCGUGCCAGCAGCCGCGGUAAUAC
rnacentral:rRNA from 1 species